UCUUUAGACCUGUGCAAUGGGGUUUAAGAGUAACGCUUCAGGGUGGGAACACAGCAGAGCGCUUUUUUACCGCAGGUGCCGCAGGUAUCUGAAGGGGG
rnacentral:SRP_RNA from 1 species